GGUUAAGCGACUAAGCGUACACGGUGGAUGCCCUGGCAGUCAGAGGCGAUGAAGGACGUGCUAAUCUGCGAUAAGCGUCGGUAAGGUGAUAUGAACCGUUAUAACCGGCGAUUUCCGAAUGGGGAAACCCAGUGUGUUUCGACACACUAUCAUUAACUGAAUCCAUAGGUUAAUGAGGCGAACCGGGGGAACUGAAACAUCUAAGUACCCCGAGGAAAAGAAAUCAACCGAGAUUCCCCCAGUAGCGGCGAGCGAACGGGGAGCAGCCCAGAGCCUGAAUCAGUGUGUGUGUUAGUGGAAGCGUCUGGAAAGGCGCGCGAUACAGGGUGACAGCCCCGUACACAAAAAUGCACAUGCUGUGAGCUCGAUGAGUAGGGCGGGACACGUGGUAUCCUGUCUGAAUAUGGGGGGACCAUCCUCCAAGGCUAAAUACUCCUGACUGACCGAUAGUGAACCAGUACCGUGAGGGAAAGGCGAAAAGAACCCCGGCGAGGGGAGUGAAAAAGAACCUGAAACCGUGUACGUACAAGCAGUGGGAGCACGCUUAGGCGUGUGACUGCGUACCUUUUGUAUAAUGGGUCAGCGACUUAUAUUCUGUAGCAAGGUUAACCGAAUAGGGGAGCCGAAGGGAAACCGAGUCUUAACUGGGCGUUAAGUUGCAGGGUAUAGACCCGAAACCCGGUGAUCUAGCCAUGGGCAGGUUGAAGGUUGGGUAACACUAACUGGAGGACCGAACCGACUAAUGUUGAAAAAUUAGCGGAUGACUUGUGGCUGGGGGUGAAAGGCCAAUCAAACCGGGAGAUAGCUGGUUCUCCCCGAAAGCUAUUUAGGUAGCGCCUCGUGAAUUCAUCUCCGGGGGUAGAGCACUGUUUCGGCAAGGGGGUCAUCCCGACUUACCAACCCGAUGCAAACUGCGAAUACCGGAGAAUGUUAUCACGGGAGACACACGGCGGGUGCUAACGUCCGUCGUGAAGAGGGAAACAACCCAGACCGCCAGCUAAGGUCCCAAAGUCAUGGUUAAGUGGGAAACGAUGUGGGAAGGCCCAGACAGCCAGGAUGUUGGCUUAGAAGCAGCCAUCAUUUAAAGAAAGCGUAAUAGCUCACUGGUCGAGUCGGCCUGCGCGGAAGAUGUAACGGGGCUAAACCAUGCACCGAAGCUGCGGCAGC
rnacentral:rRNA from 1 species